CUCCAAUGUCUAGAUGGUAUUUAUCAACAGUUCUUGCCAUAAAUUAGCCUUAGCUAUGUAUUUGACAUUGUAAGGACAGAUGGUGUUUGCUUUUAAAUACUAGGUUGGGUAAUAUAUACGUAUUAAUGUUGUACGUUAUUCAUAUGAGCUAAACUGAUUACAUUUAGUUAGAAGAAAAAAAGAAAAAUCAGAGAUCAUUUUACACUGCAAAUAAUUAAAUUCAUAUAUAAUGUGAUAGAAAAGUUUUCAUAUUUGCCUUUAUUUGUUUUUUGCAUCCUUUUCCAAAAAUGCUGAUACACAGCCAUCUUUAACACGAAAAGGACAUGAGUGCUUCAUCAAAAAAAAGGCCAACUGUGUGUUCAUGUUUUCCUCAGCAACGACCACUUGACCUAACAAUAAUUGUCUUCAACAGUAGCACAGCAUGAAGUUGCUAUAUCAUGCAAAAGGAAAAGAGCUUGGCCCGUCUUGGGCAGUGAAAUAAUCUUAGAUGGUAUAAUUGAGAAGACAUCUCCAAGUGUACAGGACCUAACUGUCACAGGCAUCCCGAUCCAAACCACCAUGAUUGAUGUUAUUACUCUUAUGGACCAAUGAAAAGUGAUACAUGUGCUGCAAAAGGCUCUCAAAAAAAAGGAUUUGCAGACUUCUAUCGAGUGUGUGAACAAUGCUGAUGGGUAUCCCGGUGUUGUCGUGUAUGAUAAUGAAACACUUCCCAUUUCUUCCCAUCAUGGUGCUGCACAGGCGGUGGGCCACGGCGAUGGACCAGGCCCUCACAGUUCUGUGGUAGUUUUCCAAUCAGCCCGUGAUGAAGACAAUGAGGAUAGUACAACGUUGUGGGCUUCUCCACAGACUUUCAGAGAUUCCAACGGCAGUCUUGAGGAUGAGGUUGACGAAGACGGACAACUGUGAAACACCAGGCAUCAACAGAAUCGUUUAAAAUGUCUAUAAGAAUUUGAAACGCUAUAUACAUGAGCUUCUUCUUUAUAUAUUUUUUGCUAUUUUUUUUUACUAUUUUUCGUUUGUAUUUUAUGCAAUGUACACUAACCUUAACCUUGUAUAACAGUGUUUUGCUUGGACACUUUGGUGAUGUUCGGAUCAAAUUGACCCAUUGUUUGGGUUUUAAAUAAUAAUCAUUUUGUAUAUUGUCUAAACUGUCUCCUUAACCAACCUUGCAUCCUAGAAAUUCCUCUGUGCAUAUAAGGAACAGCAAACACAUACAUUUUCUUUUAACAUAAUUAAUACAUGUUUGUAAUUUAUGUGGAGAGCGAACUAGUAAAAUGUUCACACUGAACGCAUUCUGUUGUCUGCCUGAAUAUCUAGUCUUGCUGCAUUUCAUCUUGUAGUGACGACAGCAUUAUUAAACUUUUCUGGCACUCACAGUACUUUGGUUGAUGUUGGGGACCUAUCGUGGUCUAAAUAACGUUGAGUUAAAGGUCCAGCAGUAUUAAUAAGUAGGCUGGUUGUGUCACUUGCUGAUCUAGUGUAGAAGGAAAACAAACUGCAUGUUGUUUUUGUCGCCUCUCAAGUCCCGGAGCUCUCUCCACAGAGUGAAGGCCCGUCCAAGGUUCACAACGGGAUUAUUUUUCCCAUGUGAGGUUGUGGUUGUUGUUUUUUUGUCAAUUUGGCUGUUCCAUCGUCUGCCAUUUUCAUCACAAGACAAAAUGAAGACAGUGCUUAAAGUUGAGGUCUGUACUCAACUUUAAACACAUUAAACUUGGAUUAAAUACUGAAUAAAACAAAAUUAAAAUAA